GAUUUARUUAUAGUAACACAAAGAGUCGGUAAAUUUCGUGCCAGCCACCGCGGUUAUACGAAAGACCUAAAAUAAUGGCCCCCGGCGUAAAGCGUAGCUAGAACUAACUAAAAUUAAGGAUAAAUAUCUUCUCCGCUGUAAAACGCUCAAGUAGAUAAGAACAUCAACCCACCUUAAAAAUCAUUUGACCCUACGAAAGCUAGGACACAAACURGGAUUAGAUACCCCACUAUGCCCAGCCCUAAACUUAGGUAACAAUAUACUACCUACCCGCCAGAGAACUACAAGCAAAACACUUAAAACUCAAAGGACUUGGCGGCAUUCCAUAUCAACCUAGAGGAGCCCGUCCAAUAAUCGAUACUACACGCUCAACCCAACCAUUUCUGGCCACUCCAGCCUAUAUACCGCCGUCGUCAGCUAACCUUGUGAAAGAAAAGAAGUAAGCACAAUAGCCCUCACUAAAACGUCAGGUCAAGGUGUAGCUAAUAAAAUGGGUGCGAUAGGCUACAUUUUCUACCAUAGAAAAAACGGAAAAUACAAUGAAACUUUGUAAUAGAAGGUGAAUUUAGAAGUAAACUAAGAAAGAAUCCUUAUUUUAACACCGCCCUGGAAUGCGCACACACCGCCCGUCACCCUCCUCAAACAACUUAGAUGAGGCA
rnacentral:rRNA from 1 species